CGUGUAGGUGGUUGACUAGGUUUGAUGUGAAAUCCCCGGGCUUAACGUGGGCAUUGCAUUUGAAACUAUGUAGCUAGAGUUCUGUAGAGGGGGGUAGAAUUCCAGGUGUAGCGGUGAAAUGCGUAGAGAUCUGGAGGAAUACCGAUUGCGAAGGCAGCCCCCUGGACAGUGACUGACGCUCAUAUGCGAAAGCGUGGGGAUCAAACAGGAUUAGAUACCCCGGUA
rnacentral:rRNA from 1 species